UUAAAAUUUGUCUUUGGCAUAUUUGUGUGUC
rnacentral:piRNA from 1 species